rnacentral:rRNA from 1 species
GUAGGGAAUAUUGGACAAUGGGCGAAAGCCUGAUCCAGCCAUGCUGCGUGAUAGAUGAAGGCCCUCUGGGUUGUAAAUAUCUUUUAUCUGGGAAGAAACUCCUCUAUUCUUAGAGGCCUGACGGUACCAGAGGAAUAAGCACCGGCUAACUCCGUGCCAGCAGCCGCGGUAAUACGGAGGGUGCAAGCGUUAUCCGGAUUCACUGGGUUUAAAGGGUGCGUAGGCGGGUUGAUAAGUCAGUGGUGAAAGCUCCGGGCUUAACUUGGAAACUGCCAUUGAUACUGUCAGUCUUGAAUGUCGUAGAGGUAAGCGGAAUGUUGCAUGUAGCGGUGAAAUGCUUAGAUAUGUUACAGAACACCAAUUGCGAAGGCAGCUUACUAUGCGAUAAUUGACGCUGAGGCACGAAAGCGUGGGGAGCAAACAGGAUUAGAAACCCUGGUAGUCC